rnacentral:rRNA from 1 species
AACGAACGCUGGCGGCAUGCCUAACACAUGCAAGUCGAACGAGACCUUCGGGUCUAGUGGCGCACGGGUGCGUAACGCGUGGGAACCUGCCCUUAGGUUCGGAAUAACUCCCCGAAAGGGGUGCUAAUACCGGAUAAUGUCUUCGGACCAAAGAUUUAUCGCCUUUGGAUGGGCCCGCGUUGGAUUAGCUAGUUGGUAGGGUAAAAGCCUACCAAGGCGACGAUCCAUAGCUGGUCUGAGAGGAUGAUCAGCCACACUGGGACUGAGACACGGCCCAGACUCCUACGGGAGGCAGCAGUGGGGAAUAUUGGACAAUGGGCGAAAGCCUGAUUCAGCAAUGCCGCGUGAGUGACGAAGGCCUUAGGGUUGUAAAGCUCUUUUACCCGGGAUGAUAAUGACAGUACCGGGAGAAUAAGCUCCGGCUAACUCCGUG